rnacentral:rRNA from 1 species
UACGAAGGGGGCUAGCGUUGCUCGGAAUCACUGGGCGUAAAGGGCGCGUAGGCGGCCAUUCAAGUCGGGGGUGAAAGCCUGUGGCUCAACCACAGAAUUGCCUUCGAUACUGUUUGGCUUGAGUAUGGUAGAGGUUGGUGGAACUGCGAGUGUAGAGGUGAAAUUCGUAGAUAUUCGCAAGAACACCGGUGGCGAAGGCGGCCAACUGGAC